rnacentral:lncRNA from 1 species
AAAACUUCAUUCACCCAGGCUGCUCAUCUCUGCCCUCUAUUUGCUAAUUCAUUCUUUUUUUUUUUUUUGUCUUUUUAGGGCUGCACCCACGACAUACGGAGAUUCCCAGGCUAGGGUCAAAUCGGAGCUUUAGCUGCUGGCCUACGCCACAUCCACAGCCACACCAGAUCCAAGCCGUGUCUUCAACCUACACCACAGCUCACGGCAACCCCGGAUCCUUAACCCACUGAACGAUGCCAGGGAUCAAACCUAUGUCCUCAUGGAUGCUAGUCAGAUUCGUUUCCACUGAGCCACGACGGGAACUCCUGCUAAUUCAUUAUUGCAACCGACCAAUCAGUCUUCAUUCAAUUAAUCAAUGAAUGAGCCAAUCAUCGUCCAAAGGUCCGGUGUUUAUUGGAGCAGCCAGUUAAUUUCAUUGAUUCAUGUUCUUGCCUUCAGUGGACGAAGUGCUAAGCAGUCAUUUAGUCUCCAUUCAUUCCAGCUCAGUAUUCCAGGUGGCAAAGCUCAGGCCUGAACCAUUCCUCAAAGGGUGUCUAGUUCAGCUGAUGUAAUCCCGUAGGAAUCCCCUCCACUGCAACCUUGCCAUGUCGUCACCCAGAUUAGACUAAGUUCCUCUAACAGUCUUCAUAGGCUGCCUGGACUGUAGCAGGACACGUUUGGCUGCAAGAAGAUAUUUCUCAGCCCCCUUGUAAUGUUCAUAUUUGCUUCUGACAAUGCCUUCCAGGCCACCUGGAGCAACCCAGCUCCCGUGCAGGACCCCAGCCCCUCGGUAGCAACAGCUGGUCACGCUGCCUCUGGACCCCUUCCCUCCCUCACUGGCCCUCGUGGGUGAUGCUCCCUCUUUGCUCCAAUCGCUCUCCUGGUUAGGCAGGCUUCACUCAGCCCAGGGCUCUCUCCUGAUUUGGGGGUGGGAAUCAGGGAGCACAUUCCAGGUGUGAUGUGACCAGCUUGGAAGAGAGGGGGCAGUCACUUACAGUUCUAAACAGACCAAGCCGCAGCGUGUUUGUCCUGCUUGCCAUUCUGUGAAGGGGUCUCCCCUCAUCCUGUUCCACGCGCCCCCCGCCCCCACCACUUCCCUGAGCUACAGGCGAGCAUCCCAGGGGCCGCUGGUUUACACACUUGCUGGAGAAUACAGGGAUGGCCUGGCCCAGAGCUCUCCCCAAGUGGGGGCAGCAGAGGUUGGGUGGGCAGCCAUCCCUCCUCCUCCUCUUGAGGGAGACGCUAAGCCACUAGAUGCAGGAGAUGAGGCAAGAAGAUAAAGAGAAGGGCUUGAGUCAUUCAGGCCAUGAGGAAACAGAGACUGGGGAAGGAAGCCAUCCGUUACCUCACUCAUGGCGUGGGAACAGGUGACAGAAGCCAACUGACCAAGUUAAGCAGCAAAAUAAUUUCUUUCUUUUUNUUUUUUUUUUUUUUUGCUUUUUAGGGCUGCAUAUGGAGGUUCCCAGGCUAGGGGUUGAAUCAGAGCUACAGCUGCCAGCCUACACCACAGCCACAGCAAUGUAGGAUCCAAGCCGCGUCUGCGAUCUACAUCACAGCUCGCAGCCAUGCCGGAUCCUUAACCCAUUGAGCAAGGCCAAGGAUCGAACCUGCAACCUCACGGUUCCUAGUUGGAUUCGUUUCCACUGUGCCACGACGGGAACUACAAGCAGCAAAAUAAUUUCUUGAAAGGACCUCAGGUAACUUGCAGAAACCGAUCUUCAGUUACAGGGUAUUUAGUAUUUUGAAUUCUAAAGAAUUCAAACACAUGGCAGGAAAAAAUAUAUAUUUGUUCCAGAAAAUUGUAAACUUAUCUUCGCCCCUGCUUUCUCAAGAAGACAUAUAGGCAGGUAGCUGAGGGUUUCUGGUUUCCUGGGAACAAAGUCUUAGUCAGGGCGGAGGCCUUGCUACGCUAGAUCACAGCCUUACAGCCUGAGGACGAAGAGAAGCCCAGGGCUAACUCUGCAAAAAAAGGAGGGGGGGAUAGAGGAGACCCCGGAGAAUUCAGAGGCUUGGGAUCGCUUGAGGGGAGAGAGGGCUGUUUGCUGUAACCCUCCUUCCAUCUCUAGAGAGAAAUCCUCAGUACAAUGCCCAUUUCUCACGGCAGCCUUGCGGCCCAGUUUUGCUUUGGGGUAAUUGAGGGAAGCACUGAGCCCUGCUCCUUGGUGAAGGGAGUGAGUGGAGGCGGUGAAAGGCUGACACACCUGCACUGUAUUUUCGGACCCUGCCUGGGCUUUGGAUGGGCCAUUCAAAUCUCGAGUGAAUCUGGGUUUCCAUCAUUACUCUAAAUAAAAAGCCAAACAUACAGCAUUGCACCUACAGUAAACCAAUGCACUUCAUUUUGUUAAGAGAGUAAGUCUCAUGUUGAAUGUUCCUACCGGCCUAAAAAAUUUAACAACCGAACAUGCUUCUCCCCACCCCAGUGCUGCAAAAGUGCCAGGGCAGAGGCUGAUUCAGCCCAAGGAAAGAUGACCCUGGGAUAUUACCUCAACACCAGAGGGAAGUUGUGACUGUGAGGUCAGCAUGCUGGCCUGAUCAAGAAUGGACUUUUCAGAAAGUGUAUUAGUCAGGAUCCUUUGGGUUGCAAAUCAUGGAAAUUCAUCUCUCACAUGUUAAUCAAAACAAACAAACAACACCCAAAAACGUAAAAGGGGAAGGUGGAAUUACUGGCUCACAUAAAUGUGAAAGGCAGGAGUAGCGCUAGCUUCAGGAACGGCUAGAUCCAGGCACACAAGUCAGGUUGCCAGGUGUUUAUCGCCAUCUCACCACUCUGUCCUUUUUUUGUGUGGGCUUCUCUCCCAGUUUAUGUCCCUCCUGGAGGGGCAAGAUGGCCCCGCAAAGUACCAUCCCAAUAUCACCCCUGCUGGAAAGAGCUGACUUUCCCAACCGUUCUGAGGAAAGUAUCAGGAUUGAGUCUCAUGGAACUGGCUGGGUUAUUUCCCCCACCAUGGAGUUAGGAGAAUGGGGUGAGCCACACAGGAACUCCUUGAACUGAGAGCACAGGCAGGAAAAAUCUCUUAAAGGAAGUCAAGGUAUUUCUGAUACCAGGAAUGGGAAAACAGCAGUCCGUGACAAAUGGAGACACGCAUCCUAUGAAGUGAGCUCAGGAGACAGAUAUAAAAACAACAACAACAAACUUCCUUGUGUCACCCCGGCUGGAAAUUGGUGUUUAAUCCAGGCUUGAAGGACACAUGACUUACUAAGAAACGAGAGUGUCUCCAGGAAGGGGUGAGGCGGACUGGGGCAGAUACCCUUGGCUGAUUUGGGUCCCCACGCCUCCCCUUCUAGCCUUAGCUUCAGAGACAGGAUUUCCUGGAGCGGGAGCUGUCGCUGUAGAGCUGGCUACCAGACAAACUCUGAAACCUUGGUCAAGGCCACAUGCUGCCAGACAAGAGGGACGUUUGCAGGGACUGCAGCCCCAGGGACAAGAGAGGAGAAUGCUGAAUUGUGGUCAGAGCUUCAGUGCAUCGUUAGAGGAGGAUGGUCGGAGAGAGGGGGAAACGGAGCCACAGUUUAGAGGUUUUAGGCUCUGGCAGCAGGAACCAAACGCGGAUUCGAAGCUGCCCAUCGGGGCCUCCAUCUCUGCACGAGAAUGACCAGUGCUGCUUGAAGGCAUGGGCAGUGGAAAGGGAGGUGCCGGGAUUCCUCUGUCUCUGAGACAGCAGAGAGGAGAGAAGCGCUCCCCACACACAGUAGAACAGUAGAUAAAAGAGAUCUGUGCUGUGAGCCAUGAGCCGUAGGACGAGAUGUGCUUGAUCACAGCUUGGAGAAUCUGGCCCUGCGGGAGCAGAGAGAUAACCGUGGGUACAAGGGACACAGUCACAGUUUCCCCCGUCGCGCUGCCGCAAAGCAUUGGAAUGGCAGACAGCUUAUAAAUGUAUUAAAGCAAAAGGGCAUUUUCAGAGAGAGAGAACGCACUGAGCAAGGCCAGGGAUCGAACCUGCAACCUCAUGGUUCCUAGUUGGGUUCUUAACCUGUUGAGCCAGGAUGGGAACUCCCAUGACCUUUCUUGUUCCAGGUCCUGGGAACUGCUUCUCAGCCGCUUUAGCCAUUCAGGCCUAGAGGUGGGGACAGCUCUGCUGCCAGCUCCACGUUAGUACACUUGAAGUCACCCUGUGCUUUGUAAUUAGGCCCUGUAUAAACAAACCGCCUGCCACUUUCAGGUGAGUGGUACCAUCUGUGUCUUGUUGGGACUCUGAAUGAUGCUGUCCCUGAAAUUCUCCCUGUUAGCUAAGUGGGAGGAGGAGGGAGUGAGCGGGGCCAUCCUUAGAGGAUAAGAAAUAACAGCCGAGUUCUGGCUGGAGGAGCCAGUGCCAACGAGGGAGGCAGAAAGGAUGCACCUGGCCUCCUGAGUCUGCCUUCCUGGCAGGAGACGUGGGCUGGCACGAGCAGGAGGCCAGCUGCUAACAGAAAGUUCUGCAGAGUCGGCCCAAAGCUCAAGCUAAAGCUCGGAGCAUCUUCUCUUCCACUGAGGCGUGUCUGGUACCCGUGAGCACUGGCACGUGCUGGUUCCUAACUGGUCCCCGGACUUGCUAAUCAGAUUAAAGGGCAAACUACUAAACGCCGAGGACUCAUGAAUUUGAAAUCCUGUGGCGUUUAUUUUCCUGUGAUCAGGAAAGACACCUUGCGGUAGAGGUACCUCCGAGGAAACUCAGUAAAUGCAUCACUUUUUUCCCUUUACAGGAGAUGGGGAGCUUGGCGCCGAGGCAGGAGGGGGUCUACCUUGUGCUACGGAGUAGGGGUGUCAGAGAUCUGGGGACCGGGUUUGUCUCUAAAGUGAGAGAGCGGAUCGGGCCUGAACAUCCCACCAGCUCUCCUGGGCUCUUUCAAUGCUAAUGCGUCCACAUUUCAAGCCACCACGGUUCCACAUCUCCCCUAGUUCUCUCUCUUCCCCAGCAAAGCUGAGUAUGUGUGGGAGGCAGAGGAAGCAGGGCCAAAUGGGGCAUCCAGGAGGCUCCCUCGAAGAGAGUGGGGGCCUGUGGGGAGGGAAAGGGGCCUCUCCCCCUGGAUGCUCUCUGAGCUGGGACUCUGCAGGCUCUUCCUGGUGCUGCAGCUGGAAUCAAGUGUGGUGAGAAAGUGGGGCUGUGGGCAGGGGGGACCUACGAGACUGGGGCUGUUUGUGAACACAGAGAAUGGAUUAGAGAGUUCUAAAGACAGGCGGCUCGUGGAAGGGCCUACGUCAGCAAGCUUGUCAGGAUCAAGAUAUUGGGGGGCCUGGGAGGAACAUGGGGCACCCCUCCCAGUUCCUCAUAUUUGCCAUGGCUCCAUAUGAAAGAGCGUGAGGUUGAGAGGAGGCACAGAGGGCCAGCCAGCAGCCACAAGGAGUAGGGUCCCCCAUUUGGGGGAGGGGCUGGGGACAGACCCAUGGUAGGGACAAAGGAAGGCCAGGCAGCCUCUGUCCGUGGAAGUCCUUGGCAAUGAGGGGCCAAGGGAGAGCUGAGUGACACCCAGGAAGUCACGGGUGUUCCCUCUGUGGACAUCACCACAUCACAGAGGCCACCAAGGGCAAACAGAACCGGAGCAAGGUCAGGGACAGGUCUCUGAAGCAGAAUGAAGCCGGGGGGGCAAGAGAGCUCACAGGCCUUCUCUCCACCCCCAGGAGUUAGUGAUGAGAAAAGAGAGCGGAGCAUGCCCCUGGCCUAUCACGGUCCCCAGCCACCAAGCCUCUCUAGUCACAUUCUAGCCUGGGUGGGGUAGAGGGUUGCUGUGAAUUGGGUAAGAGGUUGAAGUUUUUGCUUUGUUUUUUGUCUUUUUUUUUUUGCCUUUUCCAGGGCCAGCAUAUGGAGGUUCCCAGGCUAGGGGUCGAAUUGGAGCUGUAGCUACUGGCCUACACCAGAGCCACAGCAACACGGGAUCCAAGCUGAGUCUGCAACCACAGCUCACGGCAACGCCGGAUCGUUAACCCACUGAGCAAGGGCAGGGACCGAACCCGCAACCUCAUGGUUCCUAGUUGGAUUCGUUAACCACUGCGCCACAACGGGAACUCCGAGAUUGAAGUUUUAAACUGGACGGGUCUAGGUUUAAAUAACUGAAUGAGGAGUUCUCAUUGUGGUUUGGUGGGUUAAGAACCCAGCUAGUAUCCAUGAGGAUGUGGGUUUGAUCCCUGGCCGUGCUCAGUGGGUGAAUGACCCAGUGUUGCUGUGGCUGUGGUGUAGGCCGGCAGCUGCAGCUUUGAUUCACCCCACAGCCCGGAAACUUCCAUGUGCUGCAGAUGUGGCCCUAAAAGAAAAGACCAGAAGGUUAUUAAAACUGCCUGUGGUGUUAAAAAAGAGGAAAGAGGAAAGGGAAUGAUGAGGAAGAUUAAAAAGACCCAGAAUUUCUUCAUGCAACUACCUCAACAGGUUGAACCAAACUCCUCAGCAACCAGGUGUGCUAAGAAAAUGACCACUGGCCUCCCAUCUCCAUAGUGAGGCAUCCCUCCCACCUGAGCCGAAGAGGGCACCUGGGGACCAGAGCACCUGCCAAAGAGCCUGAGCUUCACCUUGACUGGGCCGCCUUGGCUGACAAGCCUCUCUUGAACCCAUCCCUGGACCGAAGAGGUGGCAGGUACUGAUUGUUCGAGCUCAGGUCAUAUUUCUACCCCUGGAGGUGGCCUCCCUGGGACCACAGCAUUCCCAGAAGGGAGGUGGGAACUGCAGGGAAGAAGGAAGGAAGGAUGAAUUGGGGGAAAUUUCGCGUUGGGGAAACUUUUGGCAUAAAGUUUCUGUCCCAGGAAGAGAGUGGAACCAAAACAAAAACGUACAGGAGUUUUAUAAUUCCCAGAAUAACAGCCAUUGACACGCUUAAUGAUGACACUAACGGGUGGGUUGGAGCAGCAGGGCAGAGUUAAAUAUCCCGGCAGUAAGGAAAAGGAGGCCCUGUUCCCCGGUGGCCCAGUGAAGGACUCAGCAUUGUCACCGCUGUGGCUGCUGUGGCUCAGUACAGGAACUUGCGCAGGCCGUGGGUGCAGCCAAAACAAACAAACGAGAAAGAUUUUUAAAAAGAAAGAACGAAACAGGCGGCCAGGAGAGCUCUGAGCUGAGGGCGAGCUCCUGGGGGCUGGGAGGGGCCUCUGGAUGAAGGGAGGGCAGGAAGGGGAGCUUCGGGACUAAAGGCACGUCUGAAGGGGAUUUUCCGAAGUGAAAUGGUGAAAGUGAAAGUGAAGGAAGCCAAGAGCAGAGCCCUCGCCCCCGUUUUCCCGUGUGAAAUCAGCAGUUACAGGGUCAGUCUCUUCGGCUGUGGGCAUGACGACCGAAUGCAAGGUGGCAGCCAGGACUGGGUCCUGGGACAAAAGUGGGACAUGGCUGCAAACGCCGGGGAGGUCCAGUUACAGCCUCGAGUGUAGUUCAUAGCCACUGUUGGAGGUUCCCCCCCACCCCCCGCCAAAAAAGAGAGAGAGAGAGAGAGACAAAAAAUAGUAAUUAAUGUCAAUUUCUUUGUUGUGACAGUGUGUCUGUCCCUUAGAACGUACCAUGUUAACGAAGGAAACCGGGUAACGGGUAUAGGAGACCUCUCCUUACAUUUUUGCAACUUUUCCAUAAAUCUACAGUUAUUCUCAGAUAAAGUUUAUUUAUGUAUGU